rnacentral:rRNA from 1 species
GAGUUUGAUCCUGGCUCANGAUUAACGCUAGCGGCAGGCCUAACACAUGCNAGUCGAGGGGCAGCAUUAGUACUUGUACUAGAUGGCGACCGGCGCACGGGUGCGUAACGCGUAUGCNACCUACCUAUCACUGGGGAAUAGCCCGGGGAAACCCGGAUUAAUACCGCAUGACACUAUGAGAUCGCAUGGUUUUAUAGUUAAAUUUUCGGAGGUGAUAGAUGGGCAUGCGUAUGAUUAGUUAGUUGGUGAGGUAACGGCUCACCAAGACUGUGAUCAUUAGCGGGUCUGAGAGGAUGAUCCGCCACACUGGUACUGAGACACGGACCAGACUCCUACGGGAGGCAGCAGUGAGGAAUAUUGGUCAAUGGGGGAAACCCUGAACCAGCCAUGCCGCGUGCAGGAAGACGGCCUUCUGGGUUGUAAACUGCUUUUAUACGGGAGCAAAAAGACCCUGCGGGGUAAAUUGAGAGUAUCGUAUGAAUAAGCACCGGCUAACUCCGUGCCAGCAGCCGCGGUAAUACGGAGGGUGCAAGCGUUGUCCGGAUUUAUUGGGUUUAAAGGGUGCGUAGGCGGCCUUAUAAGUCAGUGGUGAAAGUCUUCGGCUCAACCGGAGGACUGCCAUUGAAACUGUAAGGCUUGAGUACAGUAGAGGUAGGCGGAAUUUAUGAUGUAGCGGUGAAAUGCAUAGAUAUCAUAAAAGAACACCGAUGCGAAGGCAGCU